AGACAAAUUUCUGCAUUAACAGAUGCGCCCAGCAAAAAGAAUUACCAUCAUCUGCAAAUACACACAAAAUUGCAAAUCUGAUUGUUCCACAUAUCAUUUAUAGAGUCAUAUUUCUUUUUGAGUAUGCACUAAAAAGCAACAAUGAAACAAAUAAACUCAAGAACUCUAUUACCCAUGAUUUUAUUUAUUACAGCCUAAUUCAUUGUCUAAGCAAAUAAUUUCCAUAAUAUCCCCUACCUCUUUAUGUAAAAUCACAGCAAACAAUUUUAGCUUCCUAUUCCGUUCAUCAAUACAUAAAUUUGAUAUCAAAAACUACCUUGUUACAUGUAGCCAGGGUAGCCCAAUAUUUUAAUAACGAGCACUCAAGACCAGUUCUAAGCAAGCUCCCCAGGAAGUUGGGAUAAUUAGAGGGACUGAAUGGAGGGAUGCAGCGAGUGUCCCUGCACAGCAUCAGGUCAGCACCAGACACAAAUUAAAGCCUAAGACGAAAGAAAGAGUUCAAUAUCACAACAUGUGAACCAGAAAAUCUUGAGAAUCAUUUAAAUACUCUCACAUUCAAUCUUCAUCCAUUUUACAUUUAUUCCUAAAAGAAAUGAUAUGUAUAUUAAGUUCUAACGCUACUCAAAAUUCAGGAAUGUAUGCUCCAUUUUUAAGACUACUCACUCUAUAAUGUUUAAAUGUAUUUAUUUUGCAUAAUAGAAGCUAAGCAUUCAAUAUGAAAAAGAGUAAACUCUAGUUCUAAAAGGAGUCUAUUCUUUUUAAAUGAUGAAAGGAUUAGUAUCUUUUUAAAUGACUUUUCCUAAUUUCCUAAUGGUCUUCUAGUUUCAGAAACUUCCAGAUUACAAUUAUUUUGCAAGACAGAUAUAUAAAACUGGAACACAAACAUACACCUAAACAUUUGACCCACUCCUCCACCAAAAAAAAAAAAAAAAAAGUCAAAGGUGGCAAAUACCUGAGUAUUUCUGUUAUAGUCUUCAGUUAUGAAAUAAUUUUUAAAUACUUUGUUUUAAAUGAGAUCUUAAAAAAACAAAAAAGCAGUCUUUUAAAAAGCUAAGAAUUCUCUUUGUCAAUUCAAUAAAUAUUUUCCACUUUAGUAAAAAAUUAUAUUGAGUAUUGAAAGGUAAAAGAUCAGGUAAACGCCCAAGGGAUUUUCAGGUCGGUAUCUUACUAUAAAAUAUCCAAAUAUAUACAUUUGCUAAUUAUUUAAUAAUACCAAUUGCAGGGAAAAGCAGCCCUGCUUGCAAAGGGCUUCUAAAUAUCCCUGUGUUCAAAGCAAGGCCUUCCUCGUGGUUAUCGUUGCCUGGUACGCCCCCAACCUUGUCAAGUUGCUCUUCUGCCCUCAGACCAGGAUGCCCCUCCUCUAUUGCCCUAUUGCCCUCUGUCCACUUCAGAUCCUGUUACUGUCAAUUUUGUUGUUGUAAUUGUGAUUGUAGUUUUUUUCUGUAAGAAAGAAAUUGAGUACUUCACAAUCCUUUAAAAAGAAUACAUUUAAGUCUUUGUUUAAACUUAAAUCCACAUUUGUUUUAUUGUCCUCAGAUACUACCUAUUAUAGAAGAUGUACUUCAAGUUUCACAUCUACCACUGGAUCUCUCCCAAGUACUUCAAUUUAGGAUGAAUCUCCUUUAAUCUAAACUCUGAGAGUAGUUAGUGCAAAUUUUAGCAUAUAAUCUCAUCUACCCAACAAUCUCAUUUUAACUGCUUUGCACACUGUUACAAUUUCUCCUCCACCAGAUCAUAAGGUUAUGCCUUGAAUUCUUUUUUUAAUCUCCCCUAGCCCAAUGUUAUGUGAUUAAAGCUAUUUACUCAUAGAUACACUUAGAUAGCAGCUUGCUUAGUAACUUUCAUUAUCAAAUGUUAAAAGCCAUUGUCCUUGAAGUACAAAAAAGUUGCAACUUUUAUUACCUUUUUUUCAUUAUAUUUGAGGUAAAAAUCUACACCUACAUAAAGUCUUCUUAAUCUUGGCAAUACAUAUGGCAACUGGUGGUUUAUGGAGGAAAAGAAAUGAAAAGAUACACAUAGGCACAUGUGUUUAUGUGUCCAAAAUUUCUAUAAUAAACAUGCAUUCAAAAGUAAAAAGGAGAGAGAGAAUCCUAAUAGUAUUGACAUUUUUACUUACAGUCUUUUCUCUAAAUACACUUUUAUAAUGAUACUGCAUACAUAAUUUACACCCUUUUGUUUUUUAAUAGCAUAAUAGACAUUUUUCCUAUUUUAUCACAAACGUUUUGUAAACGUACCAAGAACUAGCUCAGAGCCUAAUGUAUUUUACUGGGUGAUUAAGAUUGCUCCAGUUAAAAAAAAAGACUGCUCCAAUAAACAUUUGAAUAAAUUAUGCAUUAAAAGCAGGUCAAAACUGCUAUGGACUUUACAAAGAAGGACUAAACACAAAUUGUUUAUAAAGGAUUGGUUGGCUUCUUUUCCUCCCUUUGCAGGAACAAAUCUUCCUUCAGGUGGCAGGUACAUUCAAGUCUCAACAAGCCCACAGUCUAGCCCAGGGUCGGUAGUAGCAAAAAGCCAUGCAAAAGAAAACAUUAGAAUUCUCUGCUGCCUUAGUUAAGGAGACACUUAAGAGUCAACCUGGAAAGAACAAUCUAACAAACUUUUGAAACUCUAUUUCAAUUUUGUUGUCAUUGUUGUAUGAAAUGUGUGAGGUGUUUUCUUUGGCUUAAUAAUACAAAAAACAAUAUUCAAGCAAUGCAGAUGCUAUUCUGCAGAAUGACUUAAUAUUGCAUAGGCUGACUAGAUAUGUUUGUUUCAAAAAUAUCAACAUCUUGAAAAAUAUAAAUUCCUUUUUAUAUAUUUUAAUGGUAAAGGAAAUAUAUAACAACCAUGGAAAGUUUAAACUGAGGUAAACUAAUCAAUUAAGCAGGAUUUGCUGGUUAUAUGGUUUCAAAAAGAAAAGUAAAGCAUUUUAAGUACUAACACUAAGUAUAUACACUAAGUAUAGUUUGUCUUCAUAAACUUCUCUGUUCUCAGAAAACCAAUAGAGAUUUUUAAAGCAGAUUAUUAGUUUUCCCAACAAGCAUUUAGUUUUAUAUUUUGAAUUAUUUUAUUCUUCAGAGAAAAAUUACUUGUAUCAGCUUAUCACCUGCAUGAGCCUAAUUUCCAAAUAACAAGCUAGGAGAACAACAGAUGUGUUUUUCAUCUUACAGGACUGAGAAAAAUCAUCUUCUUUAUCAACUUUUAAAAAAUAAAUCAAACUUUUUUUUUUUUUUCCGUCUGGCAGCUGCCAUCAGGUAAGCCAAGAUGGGUGCAUACAAGUACAUCCAGGAGCUAUGGAGAAAGAAGCAGCCCGACGUCAUGCACUUUCUUCUGAGGAUCCGCUUUCUUCUGAGGGUUCGCUGCUGGCAGUACCGCCAGCUCUCUGCUCUCCACAGGGCUCCUCGCCCCGCCCGGCCUGAUAAAGCACGCCGACUGGACUACAAGACCAAGCGAGGUUACGUUAUAUACAGGAUUCGUGUUCGCCAGUGGUGGCCGAAAACGCCCAGUUCCUAAGGGUGCGACUUAUGGCAAGCCUGUCCAUCAUGGUGUUAACCAGCUAAGGUUUGCUCCAAGCCUUCAGUCCCUUGCAGAGGAGGGAGCUGGACGCCACUGUAGGGCUCUGAGAGUCCUGAAUUCUUACUGGGUUGGUGAAGAUUCCACAUACACAUUUUUUGAGGUUAUCCUCAUUGAUCCAUUCCAUAAAGCUAACAGAAGAAAUCCUGACACCUAAUGGAUCACCAAACCAGUCCACAGCACAGGGAGAUGCGUGGGCUGACGUCUGCAGGCUGACAGCCCUGGCCUUGGAAAGGGCCAUAAGUUUCACCACACUAUUGGUGGUUCUCACCGGACAGCCUGGAGAAGGCGCAAUACUACCCUGCUCCACCGUUACCGAUAAUAUAAGUAAAGUUUGUAAAAUUCAUACCUAAUAAACAAUUUGA